UGGGGAAUAUUGCACAAUGGGCGAAAGCCUGAUGCAGCAACGCCGCGUGAGUGAUGAAGGUCUUCGGAUUGUAAAGCUCUGUCUUUUGGGACGAUAAUGACGGUACCAAAGGAGGAAGCCACGGCUAACUACGUGCCAGCAGCCGCGGUAAUACGUAGGUGGCGAGCGUUGUCCGGAUUUACUGGGCGUAAAGGGUGCGUAGGCGGAUGUUUAAGUGAGAUGUGAAAUACCCGGGCUUAACUUGGGUGCUGCAUUUCAAACUGGAUAUCUAGAGUGCAGGAGAGGAGAAUGGAAUUCCUAGUGUAGCGGUGAAAUGCGUAGAGAUUAGGAAGAACACCAGUGGCGAAGGCGAUUCUCUGGACUGUAACUGACGCUGAGGCACGAAAGCGUGGGUAGCAAACAGGAUUAGAUACCCUGGUAGUCCACGCCGUAAACGAUGAGUACUAGGUGUAGGAGGUAUCGACCCCUUCUGUGCCGCAGUAAACACA
rnacentral:rRNA from 1 species